rnacentral:rRNA from 1 species
ACUUAAAUUGAAGAGUUUGAUCAUGGCUCAGAUUGAACGCUGGCGGCAGGCCUAACACAUGCAAGUCGAGCGGUAGCACAGAGAGCUUGCUCUCGGGUGACGAGCGGCGGACGGGUGAGUAAUGUCUGGGAAACUGCCUGAUGGAG